UUAAGUUCAGCGGGUAUCCCUACCUGAUCCGAGGUCAACCUUUGAUGGGGUUGUUUAACGGCACGGCCGAGCCCGUCUCGCCAGCGGCUUUUUACCACAACGCUGAGAUACGGUCCGUCCCGCCGGUGUCAUUAAGGCGCGGGGGCCUUGCGGUCCCCGUCGCCCAAUACCAAGCCAGGCUUGAUUGGUGUAAUGACGCU
rnacentral:misc_RNA from 1 species